rnacentral:rRNA from 1 species
UACGUAGGGUGCGAGCGUUUGUCCGGAAUUAUUGGGCGUAAAGGGCUCGUAGGCGGCCAACUAAGUCCGACGUGAAAUCCCAAAGCUUAACUUUGGAACUGCGUCGGAUACUGGAUGGCUUGAGUUCGGGAGAGGGAUGCGGAAUUCCAGGUGUAGCGGUGAAAUGCGUAGAUAUCUGGAGGAACACCGGUGGCGAAGGCGGCAUCCUGGACCGAUACUGACGUGAGGAGCGAAAGCCAGGGGAGCAAACGGGG